rnacentral:lncRNA from 1 species
UAUCAUGUAGCUGUCUUCUAUUUGAGGAGGGUGUCUCUACAAAUACUGAACUAGUUUUCAAACUGUCAUUCUCAAUUAUAUUAUUGAUAAUGGAACAAAUGUUAAUUUCAUUUAUCAGUUUUUGGAGGGCUUGAAGACAAAGAUUUUGCUAUUCUUUUAAACUUUCAUUAUGUUGAGUAUAAAGAAUUGCACAUAGUAAUUGGUCAAUAAAUGCAUGCUAAUUAAAAGAAAAAAAUACUAGAUCACUCUUACUUUAUAGAAGUGUUUUUGUGGACAGAAUGCCAUCAUCUUCACCACAAACGUGUGGAAUUGAGUUAUUGUAGUAUUUUGCUGAGGCUCUAAGUAAAUGAAAUAGUUUUGUACCUAAAUCCUUUCCUCGAGGUAAAAGAAAAGACAGCAGUAACAAGUCCUUACACAAUUUAUUUUACAGGACUCCAUUCUAAUCUUCCUUGGAAAAACUCUUCUAAAUUCUAAGACAAAUAAAAUUAGUUAAUUAAAUGCUUAACUACUCUUUAUUAUAUUUGUAUAUUACUCUUGGAACAAACUUAUUUGCAGGAGCAUUACAUAUCUACAUGUGAGGAGUAAACUUUCAGUACAGUGGGAUCUCUUAUAUAAGCAAAAUAGAUUAUUUUUAAAAGGAACUUACUCUUUGAAAAUGAGCACAUAAUUCUACAAUUGGGUGUAUUAUGUGUGGAUUAUGGAAAGAUAGUGGAGAUGGUGGCAGCAGUUUUGGGAUCUUCCUGACUCCCCUGUGAAAACAGAAAGAUUAACUAGAGAGCAAAACCAAUAACACUUGGACAGCACGCAUGAAAAACUAGGUGAUGAGGUGUCCCCCUCAAAACAAAAUAGAAAUAUGAAAGAAGGAAUCAUUGGCAUGUCCAAGAUCUUCUGUUAGCAGUAUCUUUAAGGAGAAAGCAGAGGAAAUCAAGAUGGUGUCAGGCAGACCUGUAGCAAGAGAACUCAGUUGAUAACAAGCAUGGUGGACCAGUGAACUGACUAGGUUUUACCCUCUUUAAUCUCAAUAAGUGCAAGAAGUCCAGUC